ACGUGCUGCUUUCAGCGCUUUUAACCCGCAACGGUUAAAUCGUGUACUAUUUCCGGGAUUUCAAUAUAGGAAAGGAGUUAACUCGUCUUUAAAUUUUAGAGAAUCGAGUGUUUGGAAAAUUCAUGUUUUUUUUUCUUUUAAAGAAUGGAUAGGUCAUUUAUACAUUGACGGAAAAUCGCAGUCGGCCGCGCAUUCCUUCGCAGAGGAAAUGCGACAACACAAAACAGCUGGUUACUGUCGUUGGUAAAAGCUGGAAAGUUAAUCAUUCUCAUAAAAUCCAAAAUUUUGAAAUGAGAGUGGAAAAAAUAGAUCAAAAAUAGCUAACUUACUCCGGGGAUGCAUUUAACAGGCCUUGGUGCUUCUGGUUGCUGAGCGUGCUUAAAGCACAAGCCAAUUUUAGUACCCAAUGCUCGGAAGUUACUGAUGAUCUUAAUGAACGAUCUCACCAGUUCGAUGAGUAUGGAGACCAAGUUUUCAAAAGUUUGAUGAACACACUUCAGGGCGUUUCCAACCAACGGCAUACCCAUGACAAUCUUAGCGACAUUGGACAUUGGUUCAAUAGCUGGCUUCACCUUCGCUUGAAUCUGUGCACAAACAAUAUCGUUCGAUUAUUACGCAGUCCGUUAAGUAAUGACUAAGCUCAGAAGACUUUUUUCACUCCUACCUGUUCAAUGAAACUGUCAAAUGUCGAUAGCAUUUGAAGUUCUAUCUUGUCGGGUGAUACCUCAAGUUCUUGACUGACUGCUGUUUCGGCGCUGCCCGAUCGAACGUCUGCAGCCUAAAAUUGGAUUUUCUCAUUAUUUUGAAAAAUUCUUAGUAAUUGAGCAUAACAAUGUUGCUCGCGUGCCACUGUGAGCUUUAAUGACAAUCCUCAUUCAUCGCAAGGACGUGAUGAGGGUGUGAUAAUUUAUUUACCAAAGCGAGAAGAAUCAUGCACAGGGAGAUGGAGAACUUUGACAUUUUCACGUUUUUUUUUCUUUAAUCGUUAGUCACACUUACGAGAUUACUGGUAAAAAAUUAAUAGAACGAAGCUUAUAUGUAUGAAAUCUGAGGCUCGUAUUAUCAAACGUUUUCGAUCAGCGACCUACUACGUUGUUAAUCCAUCAAUUUAUAUUUUAUAGCACUUGUGUCAAUGAACAUCGUCACUCGCAAACAAAUUCAUCCACCAUGAUAAAUUUCGAUAGAAAUCCUAUAGAAUGCUCAUGAAACAGAAGGAAUUCAGACCGAAACACAUUUCGGGAAGAAAAACGAUAUCAUCUCGAACAUUUAAGUCAUGACGAUGCCCAAGGCCAAUUUUUGUUUGAGAGCAAACAUAGUUUCGUUCAUUUUUACCUUUGUAUCAGACUUUUCUUGAAUUUUCAUCUAAUUCAAUGUUUUGUUAUUUCCAGAAUUUUAGUUGAGGAAAAAUGAGAGCAACACGAAUAGUGAUGGAACCAAGAUAAUAUUAAAAAAUUAUCAAAUCAUCAAAUUUCACUAAAACUUUUUUAUAGUUGGGUUGUUAUUUUCGGUUUAUUCCGUUCGAUCAUUCGUUCGAUUGAAUUUCAACACCUUCUGUAUAUUUUUUUUAACGCUUCUCAAUCUCUUUGCCUCUUUUUUCAUAUAGAAAAUUUAUCACUUUGGAGACUCGUGCCUCCAUAUUUCAAAAACUUCACUCAGCACACAUUUUUCUUAAAAGAUUCGAAAACCAGCAAGUUUUGUUCCCCCCUUUAUCACUGUCGAACGUCACCCAAUAGUCGAUGAUAAAUUUGAGAUCCACACGUGACCACGAACUUUAUCGCAUAAUUUCCAAAUUUCAAGUCGAGACUCUGAUUCGGCAAUCGGAAAAACUUCUUCGGACAUCGACAUCCAAAAGAUCCAUUGAAAUCUCUAGGAAUUAAUUCUCAUUCGAAAUUAGAAUAUCAACAAGUUAACCCGUAGACACCACACUCAGCACACUGGUGCAAAUUUGGACUUGGACUUUACAAAAUUUUUCAUUUCAUCCACGAAUCUACGGAAUCAAUCUUAAAACGAGACUUUCUAGGGGUAAAAAUUCCUUAGUAAUCGAUUACAAUUAUUUUAAAAAAUUGAAAAACUGAGUUUUAUUAAAGAAAAAUUGCCAAAUUGAAGAAAGGGAUUUUGAAGUUUCAGACACUCCAAGUUUUCGUGAGUACAAGUUUGCUUCGGUGUACUGUCUACGGAUCAAUAAAUGAAAAUGUUUUGGUUAGGUAAAAAAAUACAGCCGAUCGUGCGAGAAAAAACUUUAUUUAAAUUGUCACGGAGGAGCAACCGGAGACAAACUGAAAACUUUUGACAUACAUCAAUAGUCAAUUCUCACAUCUUCAUAGCAACGACCUAUACAAAAUACAUGAAACAUAUAUAAUUACUUAAACAGAAAAUGAAAUCGUUGCUGGUUGAAAAGAACUGAGACGUACAAAUAACUUUACAAAAAACACAUUUAUUCGUAGGCUUUUUACAACUUAAAUUGUACUCAACAUGUGUGUGUUUGUGUGUGUUUGUGUGUGUGUGUGUGUGUCUGUAUUAUUUACAAUUAUUCACCUACUGCUUAAUACAUUUACCGAAUGGAAGAACUUGAUCAGUGAAACGAAAGGGUUUGGAGUAUCAAUGCGCAAGUUCUUCGGAUACUUUAGCUCGUCCCGCAUAAUUUUUGCUUUUAGUGCUACUUUUAUUUCCUGUUCAAUAAUAAUGAUGAUCGUGGUAUAUACAAAGAUGUUUCGCACGAAUGCAAACGAUCUUCUAGUUUCAUCAUAUCCCGAGAAACACAAUGAGAGUAUUGCAGCGUUGUCUCGAUAGCCUCGAACAAGUGAACGUGCGUUUCACAUGCAAAAAUAACGAUUUUUAUUCACAUCGGAAAUCGAAUACGAAGAUGAUAAAAUGUGAGAAUUCGGACAUGAAAAAUGGA
rnacentral:lncRNA from 1 species